UACGAACUGUGCAAACGUUAUUCGGAAUCACUGGGCUUAAAGCGUGCGUAGGUGGUGAGUUAAGUCUGUCGUGAAAGCCCCGGGCUCAACCUGGGAAUGGCGAUGGAUACUGGCUCGCUAGAGUGCGGUAGAGGAGAGUGGAAUUCCCGGUGUAGCAGUGAAAUGCGUAGAGAUCGGGAGGAACAUCAGUUGCGAAGGCGGCUCUCUGGACCAGCACUGACACUGAGGCACGAAAGCGUGGGGAGCAAACAGG
rnacentral:rRNA from 1 species